rnacentral:rRNA from 1 species
CACGUAGGGCGCAAGCGUUGUCCGGAAUUAUUGGGCGUAAAGAGCUCGUAGGCGGUCUGUUGCGUCCGCUGUGAAAACUCGGGGCUUAACCCCGAGCCUGCAGUGGAUACGGGCAGACUAGAGGUAGGUAGGGGAGAAUGGAAUUCCCGGUGUAGCGGUGAAAUGCGCAGAUAUCGGGAGGAACACCGGGUGGCGAAGGCGGUUCUCUGGGCCUUACCUGACGCUGAGGAGCGAAAGCGUGGGGAGCGAACAGG